GACGAACGCUGGCGGCGUGCUUAACACAUGCAAGUCGAACGGAAAGGCCCUGCUUUUGUGGUGUGCUCGAGUGGCGAACGGGUGAGUAACACGUGAGUAACCUUCCCUUGACUUUGGGAUAACUUCAGGAAACUGGGGCUAAUACCGGAUAGGAGCUCCUGCUGCAUGGUGUGGGUUGGAAAGUUUCGGCGGUUGGGGAUUGACUCGCGGCUUAUCAGCUUGUUGGUGGGGUAGUGGUUUACCAAGGCUUUGACGGGUAGCCGGCCUGAGAGGGUGACCGGCGACAUUGGGACUGAGAUACGGACCAGAAUCGUACGGGAGGCAGCAGUGGGGAAUAUUGCACAAUGGGCGGAAGCCUGAUGCAGAAACGCCGCGUGCGGGAUGACGGCCUUCGGGUUGUAAACCGCUUUCGCCUGUGACGAAGCGUGAGUGACGGUAAUGGGUAAAGAAGCACCGGCUAACUACGUG
rnacentral:rRNA from 1 species